UGGGGAAUCUUGGGCAAUGGGCGCAAGCCUGACCCAGCCAUGCCGCGUGUGUGAAGAAGGCCUUCGGGUUGUAAAGCACUUUCAGUGGCGAAGAAAAGCCGGCGGUGAAUAACCGCGGGUCUUGACGUUAACCACAGAAGAAGCACCGGCUAACUCCGUGCCAGCAGCCGCGGUAAUACGGAGGGUGCGAACGUUAAUCGGAAUUACUGGGCGUAAAGCGCGCGUAGGCGGUUCGGUAAGUGGGGUGUGAAAGCCCCGGGCUCAACCUGGGAAUUGCAUUCCAAACUGCCGGACUCGAGUAUGGUAGAGGGAGGUAGAAUUUCCUGUGUAGCGGUGGAAUGCGUAGAUAUAGGAAGGAAUACCAAUGGCGAAGGCAGCCUCCUGGACCAAUACUGACGCUGAGGUGCGAAAGCGUGGGGAGCAAACAGG
rnacentral:rRNA from 2 species